GGCUUUGCCGCGCCCCCCCCCCGCCCCGAGCCCUCGGCCCCUUAACCAUGCAGCUCAGCAACCACUGCCGGGACACCCGGGCCUUCCUGCCACCCUCAUGGUCCCACUGCCCUCCCCAGCGCCCGAGACUCCCCUCCGUGACAGUCGAGCCUGUCCCGAGCCCCUCCUGGGGACGUGGGGGCUGGGGUGGAGCCCCCAAACUCCGAGAGGAGCAGUGGAAGGGAAAAAGUGGAAGGUGGGAAUCUCGGGGAGAAGGACUCUGACAUUGUCCCUAUGCUGGGAUCCUGCUGCUGCCCAGAGCUGCAGCCGGGAAAAAAAUCCACAAAACGAGGGGACAAAAAAACCCCACAAACCAGCAAGACAGUGGGGACAGUAAAUCCCUGCUUGGGACUGCAGCUGAAGGGACCAGGUGGAACCGAAAAAUACAAGAUCUGGACUGCAUAGAAAAAAAAAAAAAAAGAAAAAACCCAACCCAAAAGCAGAAGAUACUUACAGCGUGCAAGGGGAGCAGGACCUGCACUCAGGGCCUGUGAGGAGGGGGGGGGGCGCGCAGAUGGAGAA